rnacentral:ncRNA from 1 species
AUCUUCAGGGCAGGGUGCAAUUCCCUACCGGUGGUAAAGCCCACGAGCCGUAAGGUGUGAUUCGGUGCAAUUCCGAAGCCGACAGUACAGUCUGGAUGAAAGAAGAUA